rnacentral:lncRNA from 1 species
GGAGUAGCAACAAUUGGGUGUUGGUAGACGUUGAGUAUGGGCAUUGGCGGGAGGUGGACGAUGAUCGGAUUUAUAGAUUGAACGGCUUUAUGAUGUGGAUCUGUUGAUUUUAUGGGUGCAAGACGAUGAGAAGCAACGGUAGUGUCCAAGAAGAUGAAGUGUUGGCUGCUUCUGUUUAGUUAGCCUAUUUGUUGGGCCAUUGAUGGGCUGACCUUUACUUUGUAGCUAUCCAUUAGGGCUUAAUUUAGAUAUUUUGGG